UGCAGAGGUCUCAAGCGUUGUUCGGAUUCAUUGGGCGUAAAGGGUGCGUAGGCGGCGCGGUAAGUCGGGUGUGAAAUCUCGGGGCUUAACUCCGAAACUGCAUUCGAUACUGCCGUGCUUGAGGACUGGAGAGGAGACUGGAAUUUACGGUGUAGCGGUGAAAUGCGUAGAUAUCGUAAGGAAGACCAGUGGCGAAGGCGGGUCUCUGGACAGUUCCUGACGCUGAGGCACGAAGGUCAGGGGAGCAAACGGG
rnacentral:rRNA from 1 species